GUGAGGCACAACCAUUACGUCACCUACGUCCAUGAGGAAGAGUAAUCGAGGGAUCCGUUGUGGCUGCUACAAUUACUAGUGACAUGAAACUCAGCAAAACCCCACUUCAAAAACACUGAAAUAUCCCUUUAAUAUUCUGAGAAGUAAAACCCUGAGAGGAGGAGAUGUGGAUUCAUUAUAUUACAGGCUCUGCUGUCCCUGCUGAGGGAACAAAACGUCUGUUUUCACAGCUGGAGUCUUUUAUCCUGACAGUGUGGUGAAAAAGUGUUCUUAGGCUGCUGCAGUGGUCACGUGACUGAAAACUAUGAUCUGUGCUUGAUUACUCUUCCUCACGGACUUUGCAGUGGCACAAAUCUCAGCCCAUAGAUGAAUGCCACGUCCUCGUAAGUUUGAAGCUUGAAGUUCCUAAGCAUAGAUAUAUGCCCCUUACAUGCCCAUAUAAGGGCAUGACA